rnacentral:misc_RNA from 1 species
AGUUUGUUAACCAUGGCGCGGGAAGUUAUACUGGUAUUGUUCUCCAUAUUUUACGGAACAGAACAAUGUGAGAAUUUCAGGUAUACGAAAGACGUUUCUGCUCCGAAUGCCAUUCAAAUCAUCUCCAAUGUAUCUACAGAGUCCGUGAACUACCUUCGUGGUUCCUGCGUCAGUGAAUGUAUGUCUAACAUUGACUGUAACGCCAUAGAUGUAUGUGGGACGUAUUGUCGCCUAAUUCGAGGCUGGGACUCCUUGUACACGGAACAGAACGUGGCAACGACCUGCCAACGAUUUCAGAUCGAAUGUGCAGCGGGGCAGUUUUACGACCGUGCAUUGGAGAGAUGCGUUGCUCACGAUUACUGUGACUUUGAGGCUGACCCCGAGGUGUCUUGUUUUCUGACGGAGGAUCUAGCAGAUGAUGAUGGUGACUGGAUACGAAACACGGGCCCGACAAACACUGGCACUACCGGACCAAAUGCAGCCAGAUUUGGUAGUUUCUACAAAUACAUGGACUCUGCCCCAAUGAAGCGUAACGAAGUGGUAACAAUGAUUAGUUCCAAAGUCUUCACAGGUUUGUUCUCUGCAUGCAAAGAAAAAGGGGGGGGGUCAAAUAUGUGUUUCUUGUAUGACUUUAUUACGUGAAAAUUUUUCUUUUAAUAUUGAUCCUUCUCUAGGUGUUCAAGGAUUGUAAUUUUCAUAAUUACUUUCUGUGUUCAACGUUCUAUUGACUUGUUCGAUCACAAUUAUGAAAUAGAAUCAUAUAUAUGCGUCAUGUUUUAUUUAUAAGUACAUGUAAAAGUUUCAAACAAACUUUGUAAUUAAAACUCCUUAUAUUGCAUUGCAACGAACAACACCGUUUAUUUUCAUUUGUUUUAUAAUCCAAGGUUUAUACUAGAUAUUAGUAUUUUGAUAAAUUACUAAUUCAGUUUGUACUAUUAUAAUGUACAUGUAAUUCAUUCCUUCAAACCCAAAUUAAAACAUAUUUUAUCGACAAUAAAUCAAUGUAGUAUUAAGAAGUUUGCUGAAGGUUUCGAUCGAUCGAUAAACUUGUGUCGUACAAAUGGAUCUUGUAUAUUUUAGUUUCAAUAGAGCUGUGAAUCACAAUUAGUUUUCUCAACAAAUAGAGAACAUAUUCUUUAGAUGUACAGUUGAAAAUAUCUUGCAGCACGAUCAUAUUGCCUGACAUUCUAUUAUCACAUGUCCGGGAGUCAAAUGGGGGAUUUGACGGUGUCCACACAGAACGGAACUCAGUCAGCGGUAACCAAGUGGACGAGGAGCGGAAACCAGGGCGACGUCUGGAUACAAGUUCCCGGAAUUGAUCUCAAACUCGAUUCUCAAACUAAGAUUUUGAUCACGGCUAAGAGAGAUGGAAAUGCGGCCGACAUUGCGGUAGAUCUGUUUGAGCUGUGGCCAUAUCCCUGUUAACAGAGGCACAUUGACUGAAUAUCGUUAAAUUGGUACAUGAAAAUGGUCCCCAAGACUUUCAAAGUUGUUAUUUGUUGUGGCUGUUGUUGUUGUUGAAGUAUAUUGUCUGUUGGAGUUGAUGCAUGUUCAUGUAGGUUCUGAUAAGCAAAGGUAACCCAAAUUAAACAUUAUGGUAAACGU